rnacentral:rRNA from 1 species
AGCUCCAAUAGCGUAUAUUAAAGUUGCUGUGGUUAGAAAACUCGUAGUUGGAUUUCUGCCGAGGACGACCGGUUUGCCCUCUGGGUGAGUAUCUGGCUUGCCUGGACAUCUUCUUGGAGAAAGUAGCUGCACUUGAUUGUGUGGUGCGGUAUCCAUGACGUUUACUUUAAGGAAAUUAGAGUGUUUCAAGCAGGCAUGCAUGUUGAAUACAUUAGCAUGGAAUAAUAAGAUAGGACCUCGGUUCUAUUUUGUUGGUUUCUAGAGCUGAGGUAAUGAUUAAUAGGGAUAGUUGGGGGCAUUCGUAUUUAACUGUCAGAGGGGAAAUUCUUGGAAUUGUCAAAGAUGGACUACUGCGAAAGCAUUUGCCAAGGAUGUUUUCA